UUUGUUUGGAAUUCAAUUUCGUACAAGUCUUCUAUUUAGUGUUUUCCUGCCAAAUUAAUAGAGAGUUAUUGGUCGGCCAAUACGUCCAUGCAGUAUUAUAGUUUGCGCUAUUUUGACACAAACGCCUGCGCAAAUCAGUCUAAAAAAUAAGUACUGCAAAAUUAAAGUACUGUUCUGUAGUAUUUGAGCCCCGAUACUGCACGUUUUAUUUUUUACACAUGUAAACAUUACGUUUAACUACGUAUAAAAUUUUGUAUUACUUAUACAAUUGGUUCAAAAUGCCACAUUUUUGCAGUGUCGCUAAAUGAUCAAUACGUGCUGAACGAGAUACGGUUUCUUUUUUUCGAUUUAACGAGACAAAUAGAGGAGAGAGGGUGGCUUUAAAACGGGUGCCUCUAAGUGAAAUCUAUAUGAGAAAUGAUUGUAUUUGCUUAGGACAUUUCAUAACUGGAAAACCAGCUGCCUUGGAAGAGAAAACUAAUCCAGAUGUGUUGCCCAACGAAAAUUUAAGAAACAUUUGUAGUCUCUAACCAGGUCAAUCUGCCUGCCUACUCCCUAUUUAAAAGGUUUUUAAAAAGAGCUAGAAUGAAGCCAGAGGUUCGAGCUGAAGUGGUUUCUGCAUGGUGCACAAGAAUUUGACAGUGUUUCACAAUUUAUUGAAGAAAUUUGAGCAAAGCAGAUUUAUGGAAGCUGUGUUAGUGAGUCAGUUCAAACUGAUGUACCUAACUGAAGAAUAUUCAAGUCGUGUUUUUCAGAAUUUAGAUUUUCGCAUUUAAAACGCAAAAUGAUUAAUAAUAAAUUGUGUAAGGUUAGGUUACACAAUAACACAUGUUUAAUACUGAAAGCAGUGAACUAGACAUUCCAAUAACUAUCAUUU